rnacentral:rRNA from 1 species
GACAGAGGCCCCGAGCGUUAGGCGGAAUCACUGGGCUUAAAGCGUGUGUAGGCGGACCCCUAAGUGUCUUGUGAAAUCCCACGGCUCACCCGUGGAACCGCUGGGCAUACUGGGGGUCUUGGGCCGUUCAGGGGCGACUGGAACAAGCGGUGGAGCGGUGAAAUGCGUAGAUAUCGAGAGGAACACCUGCGGCGAAGGCGGGUUGCUGGGCUGACACUGACGCUGACAGCGCGAAAGCUAGGGGAGCGAACGGG